AUUCCUGUGAAUGGGCGGAGCUAAAGAGAGUGUGACAGAGUGACAAACUGGAAAAAAAGCAUAGCAGCCUGAGAUCUUGAUGGAUGUAGGUCUAAUUUAAAGAGCAGACACCUAUUUUCAGCACUAAAUCUGGCCUUCAACCCCUGUCUGCUCCAGCAAACCAACCACAUGGCAAUGGAUUGUAUCAUCCCCCCCAUUGUCACAUAACACUGAGUGAAAACCUCACAGAACAAAACUACAAAAACAGCGGAUAGGUUCAAGCUACAAACCUAUCAGGGGCCACUACUAAGAACAGGAAGGCUGCGCAAAGAGUAAUUAACACCGCCCAAAAAAGUCAUUGGCUGCCCCGUGCCAACCCUGGAGGCCAUCGCCAGGUUCUCUUGUGUCAUUGUGUCAGGAAAACCAGGGCCCUCACAGGUGACCUCUUGCGCACCACGCACCAUCUGUUUGAUCUUGUCAUGAAAUUAAUAUAUAUUUUAAGGCUUAUUUUGCUGAUUAUAUUGUUUUAGGUAUAAAAGAAGGCCAGCGUUGAGACAAGGUCACAGGCUGACAGGAAACUGCAGGUUUUUGCAGAAGUAUGGGCAA
ensembl:lncRNA